rnacentral:misc_RNA from 1 species
UGAUAAUAAAAAAGUGAUCAAAAAGUUAAAAUAUGAAUCCCUGGAAAACCAUUUAACAAAUGACUUUGGAUAAUCAAAUAUGGGAAACAGUCAAUAAAAUUUAUCAGCCAAAAAGAAAAGUAAGCUAAUAGUUACACCAUCUGUUCAACUCAUGUGAGGGCUAUAACAAAAUGAUUCAUAUGCACAAGGCUAUCGAUGACCUAAAGGUGUAGAUAUCUGAAUAUAAAUUCAUUGAUAAAUCUUUACACUACUCAAUUGGUAAUAGAAGAUGUCACCAACAGAAACCAAAAACAACUUCAUUUUAAGGCUAGGCAAGCAAGUGUUAUGGUGGGUAUGCAAAUAAAAUUACUAUAAUAUAUAAAUAAGCAAAACAUUAACAAUACCGUCUAGAUCAUAUGCAGAAACAUGAUACAUCUAGGUUAACUGACCAUUUCAUGCAAUCAACUUCAUAGCAGGUUUUCAAAGGAAUGUCAUAAUCAAAAGCAUUCACAGAACACAAGUUAUUCUAUAUUUUCAACUAUAGUUCUGCAUCAACAGUCCAGAUAAAACCUGCAAUCAGCAUUCAGGGUUCUGAACGUUAAGAUAAAACAUAUGGGACAAAAUUUACCUACAAAUUCAACACGGGCAACCAUAAUGGUCAGACAAAGAAAGUGACAAGCAUAAUUUAAUUAAAACAAGAACAAUACAAGCCAGAGCCAUAAAAUGCACAGUUCAGUCUCCUGGAUGCAAAAAUAAUAACAGACAAACCAUGGAAGCCCAG